rnacentral:tRNA from 1 species
CUUAAUUGGAAAUUAUAUAUUCAAUUCUAUUAUUAACAAUAAUAUGCCUCCUUUUUGGCUUCAAUUAA